UGGAAAAAUAAAACAUUCAAAAAAGUAAAAAAGUUUAAUUAUAUCUGUCAUGAAUUUUUGAGAACCCCUUCAACAUCUUUUCAAAUGGUUCUCAAAUCAAACAAAAAAGAAAGGAAAUUGACCUUCAGGUUUAUGUUAUGUAAUUAUUUAAAUGAUAAUGUAACUGAAUCGUAAUUAUGUAAACCUAUUCCUAAUAGAUUGAUAUCAGAGUAUGGAGAUUUUUAAAAUAAGAAGCUGCUCU
rnacentral:lncRNA from 1 species